rnacentral:rRNA from 1 species
CAGUCGCCGCGGGAAUACGUAGGGUGCAAGCGUUAAUCGGAAUUACUGGGCGUAAAGCGUGCGCAGGCGGCUUCUUAAGUCGGAUGUGAAAUCCCUGAGCUUAACUUAGGAAUUGCAUUCGAUACUGGGAAGCUAGAGUAUGGGAGAGGAUGGUAGAAUUCCAGGUGUAGCGGUGAAAUGCGUAGAGAUCUGGAGGAAUACCGAUGGCGAAGGCAGCCAUCUGGCCUAAUACUGACGCUGAGGUACGAAAGCAUGGGGAGCAAACAGGAUUAGAUACCCCCGUAGUCCCUGUCUCUUAUAC